rnacentral:rRNA from 1 species
UACGAGUGCUCCAAGCGUUAUCCGGAAUCAUUGGGCGUAAAGGGUGUGUAGGUGGUCAUGUUAGUCUUCUGUCAAAUUCUUCGGCUUAACCGGGGGUCCGCAGGGGAAACGGCAUGACUUGAGGAUGCGAGAGGUGAACGGAACUCAUGGAGUAGGGGUGAAAUCCGUUGAUAUCAUGGGGAACACCAAAUGCGAAGGCAGUUCACUGGCGCACUCCUGACACUGAGACACGAAAGCGUAGGUAGCGAAUGGG